rnacentral:rRNA from 1 species
GAAUAUCUGUCUUUUUAUUAAAAUUUGAAUUUAACUUUUGAGUGAAAAGGCUUAAAUAAAUUAAAGGGACGAUAAGACCCUAUAAAGCUUUAUACAUAUAAAAUAAUUGAUUAAAUUUUUGAAUAAAGAUUUUUUAUUUAAGUUUAUUUUAUUGGGGUGAUAAAGGUAUAAUAAUUAUUAACUGCUUAAAGUUAUAAACAUUAGUAUUUGAUUGAAAUUUAAUUGAUCCUGAAUAAAGAUUAAAAGGUUAAGUUACUUUAGGGAUAACAGCGUUAUUUUUUUUGAGAGUACCUAUCGAAAAAAAAGUUUGCGACCUCGAUGUUGAAUUAAAAUUUCUAUAUAAUAGCAGCAGUUAUAAUAGUUGGUCUGUUCGACCUUUAAAAUUUUA